AACGAACGCUGGCGGCAGGCUUAACACAUGCAAGUCGAGCGGGCACUUCCGGGUUUCAGCCGCGGAGGGGCGUGUAGCGGGGGGGAACGUGCUUUCGGUUUGGGAAACACUCCGGGAAACUUGCGAAAAUACGGGAUAGGCUCUUUUGGGGAAAGUCUUGCCGUCGGGGGGUGGGCCCGCGGCUGUUUAGCUAGUUGGUGGGGUAACCGUCCACCAAGGCGACGAUCUGUAGCUGGUCUGAGAGGAUGAUCAGCCACACUGGGACUGAGACACGGCCCAGACUCCUACGGGAGGCAGCAGUGGGGAAUAUUGGACAAUGGGCGCAAGCCUGAUCCAGCCAUGCCGCGUGAGUGAUGAAGGCCUUAGGGUUGUAAAGCUCUUUUACCCGGGACGAUAAUGACGGUACCGGAAGAAUAAGCCCCGGCUAACUUCGUG
rnacentral:rRNA from 1 species